rnacentral:rRNA from 1 species
CCUACGGGAGGCAGCAGUGGGGAAUAUUGCACAAUGGGCGAAAGCCUGAUGCAGCAACGCCGCGUGAGCGAUGAAGUACUUCGGUUCGUAAAGCUCUGUCCGCAGGGAAGAUAAUGACGGUACUUGAGGAAGAAGCCCCGGCUAACUACGUGCCAGCAGCCGCGGUAAUACGUAGGGGGCUAGCGUUAUCCGGAUUUACUGGGCGUAAAGGGUGCGUAGGUGGUUUCUUAAGUCAGAGGUGAAAGGCCACGGCUAAACCGUAGUAAGCCUUUGAAACUGGGAAACUUGAGUGCAGGAGAGGAGAGUGGAAUUCCUAGUGUAGCGGUGAAAUGCGUAGAUAUUAGGAGGAACACCAGUGGCGAAGGCGGCUUUCUGGACUGUAACUGACACUGAGGCACGAAAGCGUGGGGAGCAAACAGGAUUAGAUACCCGUGUAGUC